rnacentral:tRNA from 1 species
CACAAUCCAUCUCAUUGCUCAUACUGAAA